CCUACGGGAGGCAGCAGUGGGGGAUAUUGCACAAUGGGGGAAACCCUGAUGCAGCGACGCCGCGUGUGGGAAGACGGUCCUCUGGAUUGUAAACCACUGUCGCCAGGGACGAAGAUGACGGUACCUGGGGAGGAAGCUCCGGCUAACUACGUGCCAGCAGCCGCGGUAAUACGUAGGGAGCGAGCGUUGUCCGGAAUUACUGGGUGUAACGGGAGCGUAGGCGGGACUGCAAGUUGGGUGUCAAAUCUACCGGCUCAACCGGUAGCCGCACUCAAAACUGCAGUUCUUGAGUGAAGUAGAGGCAGGCGGAAUUCCUAGUGUAGCGGUGAAAUGCGUAGAUAUUAGGAGGAACACCAGUGGCGAAGGCGGCCUGCUGGGCUUUUACUGACGCUGAGGCUCGAAAGUGUGGGGAGCAAACAGGAUUAGAUACCCUUGUAGUC
rnacentral:rRNA from 1 species